rnacentral:rRNA from 1 species
UGAGGAAUAUUGCGCAAUGGGCGAAAGCCUGACGCAGCGACGCCGCGUGGAGGAUGAAGGUCUUAGGAUUGUAAACUUCUGUUAAGCGGGAAGAAAGACGAAGUGUUAAUACCACUUUAUGAUGACGGUACCGCUAAAGAAAGCACCGGCUAACUUCGUGCCAGCAGCCGCGGUAAUACGAAGGGAGCUAGCGUUGUUCGGAAUCACUGGGCGUAAAGCGCACGUAGGUGGGCAGUUAAGUCAGGGGUGAAAGCCCGAGGCUCAACCUCGGAAUUGCCUCUGAUACUGGCUGUCUAGAGUUCGAGAGAGGUGAGUGGAAUUCCUAGUGUAGAGGUGAAAUUCGUAGAUAUUAGGAAGAACACCGGUGGCGAAGGCGGCUCACUGGCUCGAUACUGACACUGAGGUGCGAAAGCGUGGGGAGCAAACAGGAUUAGAUACCCAGGUAGUCCCUGAGCGGGCUGGCAAGGCGCAU